GCCUUUUCACAGCCAAAAUGCUGUGAAAUGCUGUACACUGUAAUAUAUAAGUGCUGUUUUAAAUGUUUCAUUUAACAGAGUGUUUUCUGCAAGAUCUCCAGCACUCCCUUAGCGAUACCUCAGAUGAUGAGGCAUCACCUUCUGGAACCUCAACAGAUCCUCUCCAGGCUUCCUCGAACUGGAGCAUGCGACAGAGUCUCCUUUCAGAGAGAUGGAGGGCAGAGAGACCCCAUCUAGUGAACAUUACAGUUGCACAAGAAAAUGUGGGAGCACACAUCUGUCAUCAUUGUGGGAGCAAUCCAGCUGUUGUCCGAUGCGGUGACUGUCGACCCCGACCCUUUUUCUGUGACAAAUGUGAUGUGAGCAUGCACACCAUUCAAGUCCUUCACAACAGAGAUGCCAUGACAGCUGGAUUCUUUCAAUCAUUGUCUCCACCAACUUUCAUUGUGGAUAAGGCGUUGUCUGAUUGUGUACGGCUUGUACCUGUGGAGAUACCUGACAAAAUCUGUGGUUGCUCUCCACGGUCAUUAAAGGUCAUCGCAGGAAAGGCUGUUGCUGUGGUCACAAUAAAUGGACGCCAUGAUCUUAACAUGCCUGAGUUAAGCUGUGAGGCAUGUCAAGCCAAAUGGGUUGCUGGAGUGGCUGACCUGAUAAGAAGUGGCUACUGGCCUGCAACUCUUCAUUUUGCCACAAUCUAUGCAACAGAUGUCUUUAUUUCAUUUGAAGACAUGAAGAUGGCAGCACCAGGACUGUCAUGUCAAGCUUUUUUAAGAAUGUUGGAUAAGCAAACUGAACACUUUGGUUUUGUCAGUGUUUAAAUUAGUUUAUUUUACAAAUGUUUAUUGUUUUGUUUUGUAGGCUGUAAAGCUAAUGUAAUUCUUUUACAUUAAUACAGUAGCUCUUACUUGUUCUUUUUUAUGGAGUGGUAAGAUCUCGCCUGAUAGCUUUCAGAAAAGUUUUUUUGAAUGGAAGGCUGUGCAAUAUGAGGUGGAAAACAUCUGCAAGGAAGAGCCCUUCAUCUGUCCUGCGUGCACACCAUCUAUGCUUGCAUUUUCAGUAGAUGGAAAUCGCAACCAUUACCGUUUUAAGAAUGCAGCUAGGUAUUACAAAUUAUGUAUAAUGUUGUAUUGUUUGUGUCAGAUAAAAAAACUACAGAUGUGGCCUUUAAAAAUGCGCGUCUCUGAGAGCAGAAUGCCGCGAGCACUUCCGAAAUUCUGCGAGAUCUCACAGAAGGGAGUAACCCCAGGGUGCACCCUGGACGAUGGGGCGGGGCAACACUUCUUGGCGGAGCGACACGUGUCGCCCCGCCCAUAUUUGUUCCCCUGCCUUUGGCAUUUUCCUCCGACCCAGCCGGGGGCAGUUAGCGUUGAGACGGUGGCAACUGCGGCAGCAGAGAAAUAAUAACGAAGUUGAUUGCAUGAGGUGAAAGCAAAGAGUAUAGAAGUUUUUUGGUAGAAGUGGUCAGAAAAAGUGGAAGCAACGGUAAAAUACAUUUUUAUUAGUAAAAUGAGAAGGAAAAAUGUCAAAUGAACGAAUUUUAUUUGUUUAUUUAAAAUGAUUUUGAACUGUUGCCUAAGAAUCAUAUAGCACAUCGCUUUCUGCAUGGUAAAGUAACAGUCUAAAUUAUUUUAUUGAUAACGAGAUAUAGAAUAUGUAUCUGAUAAUUGUUUCUUUGUAACAGGAUGCCAAUGUGUAUGUUGCUAAUUCAUACGUGAUAGUGACCUGGCUUUCACUUCAUUCUUGUUUCCCUGGGUUGUCUUUUUCGAAACAUUGCAAAACUCAUCGACAGCAGAAAUUGGACAGAGAAAACUGCCAAUACAUUUGAAGUGAAACAUUUUAUUUAAAUGCUAACAAAAGUCUAUUUCAUUACAUAAAUUAUAACAUUUACAAUAAUUGAUGUGAUAGUAAUCUGUAAAGGUAAAACUAUGUGCUUGUUUUCAUCCAAACCUCACAGGGAAUCCCGAAGCAGAUAGGUGGGAACCACUAUGGGAUUAUCAUACUAAUGAAUGAUGCCUCUGAUUAGUAGGUGGUGGUGUUCUGUUCUCCUGGACAAUCACUUCACUAUUCAAAAGGCAAUGUCUUCAGGCAGAGUCCAGUGAAUCAGCUUCCUCUGGAAAUCUUUUCUGAAAUCCUCAGUGAAGUUAUUUUGUCAACAGGUGACUCUGCGUAUUUGACACUUUCUCUGGGAUGCAGAUGGUUUAUGGAUGUGGUCACUCAAGAAGUUUUUCGGAAAGCAGUGCAACACUUUGCAUGGCCAGACGACUUUAAGGUGUGGCCAUCUGGAAGAAUUUCAGUCCUGUCUACUGGACAGAGUUUAGAUUGUGUACAGCGUCAGGGAAUGCUUGCAGUGCAGAGCCCUUUUCAAGUCAUAACCACCAGGGUGUAGGGGAAGAGGCCGAUGUGGUGAACUUCCGGGCUUUUACUGAAAUGUUUUCACAGGAUUUUGCUUCCAGGACUGUUUUUUUUGCGGAUGGAAACACAUUGGUGUAUUAAGCGUGAAUGAACUGAGAUCAACUGAUUUUGAUGUAUGAAUUAAUAAUUUAAAGUUAAACUUUGCAGUGUAUAGUGUUCUAAUAAAAAAGCUAUGGCAAACACGUGCAUGAAAACAA